GACGAACGCUGGCGGCGUGCUUAACACAUGCAAGUCGAACGGUGAAGCGCCUUCCUUUUUGGUGGGUGUGGAUGAGUGGCGAACGGGUGAGUAACACGUGAGUAACCUGCCCCCUUCUUCUGGAUAACCGCAUGAAAGUGUGGCUAAUACGGGAUAUUCUGGGUCUGUCGCAUGAUGGGUCUGGGAAAGAUAUUGUUUCGGUGGGGGAUGGGCUCGCGGCCUAUCAGCUUGUUGGUGGGGUGAUGGCCUACCAAGGCGGUGACGGGUAGCCGGCCUGAGAGGGUGGACGGUCACACUGGGACUGAGACACGGCCCAGACUCCUACGGGAGGCAGCAGUGGGGAAUAUUGCACAAUGGGCGCAAGCCUGAUGCAGCGACGCCGCGUGAGGGAUGGAGGCCUUCGGGUUGUGAACCUCUUUCGCCAGUGAAGCAGGCCUGCCUCGUUUGUGGGUGGGUUGACGGUAGUUGGAUAAGAAGCGCCGGCUAACUACGUG
rnacentral:rRNA from 1 species